rnacentral:rRNA from 1 species
CCAGACUCCUACGGGAGGCAGCAGUGGGGAAUAUUGCACAAUGGGGGAAACCCUGAUGCAGCGACGCCGCGUGAGUGAAGAAGCGCCUCGGCGCGUAAAGCUCUGUCAGCAGGAACGAUAAUGACGGUACCUGAAGAAGAAGCCCCGGCUAACUACGUGCCAGCAGCCGCGGUAAUACGUAGGGGGCAAGCGUUAUCCGGAUUUACUGGGUGUAAAGGGAGCGUAGACGGCGGGGCAAGUCUGGAGUGAAAGGCCGGGGCCCAACCCCGGGACCGCAUUUGGAACUGUGUGGCUGGAGUGUCGGAGAGGCAGGCGGAAUUCCUAGUGUAGCGGUGAAAUGCGUAGAUAUUAGGAGGAACACCAGUGGCGAAGGCGGCCUGCUGGACGAUGACUGACGUUGAGGCUCGAAAGCGUGGGGAGCAAACAGGAUUAGAUACCCGAGUA